rnacentral:lncRNA from 1 species
UUUGAAAGGGAGAAAGAGGGAGUGCUGGCUUAUGUGAGACUCUAGUUGUUUUCUUCUGCUUAUGGAGAAAUAUGAUGGAUGUGACUCCAAACUGGGAUACUCUUGGUCUCUGCUAGGGACCUGCUUCCUUAUGUACAGACCGGUGCAGGUUUUACAUUAAACUUGUUUUAGUCAUCUCCAGAAUAUGUACUGCAUUUAUCUCCAAAUUUUGAUAUACCGUCUGCCCAUUCUAUAAUAACAAAAAGAGCUACUAAGUGACAGAGAAACGCCUUGAAGCUGUUUCUGUUAUUAAACCACGAGGACUGUCUGCCUGUGAUGGUCAGUCUCCGAGCCGGCCCAGGAUUCAUACUCUCGUUAGCAUCCUCUCCCACAUGGAAUAGGGCUGAGUUCUGUAACAAAUAGGAUAUUGCAGAAAGGACAAAGUGCAAUUUCUGAAGCAAAGUCAUAAGAGACAGUGUGGUUUCUAGCUUGUGUGCUUGGAUCACUGGCACUGGGGACGGCCAGGUGCCAGGGCAUGAGGACUGAGGCAGCCUAGGGUAGGCUAGUGUAGUAAAGGCCUAAGGUCUCCUGCCAACAACCUUGUGAGUGAAUCAUCUUGGAAGUGGAUACUUCAGCUCCAUCAGGCCUUCAAAUGACAGAUCUCCCAGCAGGUAUCUUGACAUGAGAUAAAGACCCUUUGCCACUCCCAAAUUUCUGACUCCCCCAAACUAUGCACAAUAAAUGUUCAUUGUUUUUUGCCUCUAAGUUUUGGGGCAAUUUUUUUACGUGGGAUAGACACCUACUACACUAUUACAAUGAAGUUUGUGAUAAAGUGUGAGAGAGCACUAUAUAUUGGUUUUUAGUGCUCUAAAAACCAAUAUAUAGUGCUCUAAACUCCAAGAAGGACAUGUAUUUCUGUUGUUUGUUUGUUUUUUGUUUUUUUUUUUUUUACCUUGGGGGGUAGGAAGAGUUAAAGGAGGAGAAAUUUUACUAUGUGGAAAAAAAAACAAACACAAUCAAAAUAAAACCUUUUUAGUGUGUCCAAGGUUAAAUAGAGUGACUCAGGCUUUGAUUCACAGUGGACAGGUAAAUUUUACUACUGAAUACUGGAAAAUAAAUCAAGGAUACCUCUUAAUAUCUUGAUCUCCUUAAGCUGGCAAGACUGGAAUAGAAGUUUUAACAAAUAGCAGCACAAAAUCACUUGCAACUCUUACAUUCUGGCAUUGGGUACCACAUAAGUAAGGUUCAUCAUUUUGAAGGUCAAAGGAGCCUUGAUUCUAUUUCUCUUUCAAAGCUGAACCCAAUGGACUCCUGUGGGAAGUAGUUAUUGUCUCUUGUUCAGUCAUGCUCUAUGUAAA